AGCCUAGAACAGCACAAAGAUGCUAGCCUAUGAGGAUGGUGUGGACUGGACAAGACUCCCCGACAGUAUAUUACUCCAGAUCUUCACUUUCCUGGAGUAUUCGGAUAUGCCGUUUGUGGGUCGUGUGUGCAAGUCCUGGCUGAGAGUGUCCCUCGACGAAUUCCUGUGGCGGUACUUCUUCUACAAAGACUUUCAGGUCGAUCCUAGUGUGCCUAUUAUGCCAGG